rnacentral:rRNA from 1 species
ACAGAUCGUUCAGAGUUUGAUCCUGGCUCAGGAUGAACGCUGGCGGCGUGCCUAACACAUGCAAGUCGAACGAAGCACUUAGACAGAACCUUCGGGUGACGUAUUGGUGACUGAGUGGCGGACGGGUGAGUAACGCGUGGGUAACCUGCCCUGUACAGGGGGAUAACAGUUAGAAAUGACUGCUAAUACCGCAUAAGCGCACGAUGGUAGCAUUACCAGGUGUGAAAAACUCCGGUGGUACAGGAUGGGCCCGCGUCUGAUUAGCUAGUUGGCGGGGUAAGAGCCCACCAAGGCGACGAUCAGUAGCCGGUCUGAGAGGAUGAACGGCCACAUUGGAACUGAGACACGGUCCAA